rnacentral:rRNA from 1 species
GACGAACGCUGGCGGCGUGCCUAAUACAUGCAAGUAGAACGCUGAAGGAGGAGCUUGCUUCUCUGGAUGAGUUGCGAACGGGUGAGUAACGCGUAGGUAACCUGCCUGGUAGCGGGGGAUAACUAUUGGAAACGAUAGCUAGUACCGCAUAAGAGUAGAUGUUGCAUGACAUUUGCUUAAAAGGUGCAAUUGCAUCACUACCAGAUGGACCUGCGUUGUAUUAGCUAGUUGGUGGGGUAACGGCUCACCAAGGCGACGAUACAUAGCCGACCUGAGAGGGGGAUCGGCCACACUGGGACUGAGACACGGCCCAGACUCCUACGGGAGGCAGCAGUAGGGAAUCUUCGGCAAUGGACGGAAGUCUGACCGAGCAACGCCGCGUGAGUGAAGAAGGUUUUCGGAUCGUAAAGCUCUGUUGUAAGAGAAGAACGAGUGUGAGAGUGGAAAGUUCACACUGUGACGGUAUCUUACCAGAAAGGGACGGCUAACUACGUG